rnacentral:rRNA from 1 species
UAUUGGUCCGUGUUUCAAGACGGGUCAGUACGGGGCCGAGUUGUAAUUUGCAGAGGAUGCUUUCGGUGCGGCGGCUUCUAAGUUCUCUGGAACAGGAGGCGACAGAGGGUGAAAGCCCCGUAUAGUACUGAGCCUAGCCGGUGUAAAGCUCCUUCGACGAUUCGAGUAGUUUGGGAAUGCUGCUCUAAAUGGGAGGUAAAUUCCUUCUAAAGCUAAAUAUCGGCCGGAGACCGAUAGCGCACAGGUAGAGUGAUCGAAAGAUGAAAAGCACUUUGAAAAGAGAGUCAAAUAGCACGUGAAAUUGUUGAAAGGGAAGCGCCUGUGACCAGACUUGCACCGUAGUGAUCUCCCGUCGUUUUCAGCGGUGCACUCGCCCCGGUUCAGGCCAGCAUCGGUUCCCAUGGGGGGAAAAAAGCCGAGACAACGUAGCUCUUUCGGGGGUGUUAUAGUCCGACUGCAGAAUAUUCGCUCGCCGGGACCGAGGACAGCGUCAUUAAUAGGUUUGCUGGCGCUUAUGGUAUAUGC